UGGGGAAUAUUGGACAAUGGGCGAAAGCCUGAUCCAGCCAUGCCGCGUGUGUGAAGAAGGUCUUCGGAUUGUAAAGCACUUUAAGUUGGGAGGAAGGGCAGUUACCUAAUACGUGAUUGUUUUGACGUUACCGACAGAAUAAGCACCGGCUAACUCUGUGCCAGCAGCCGCGGUAAUACAGAGGGUGCAAGCGUUAAUCGGAAUUACUGGGCGUAAAGCGCGCGUAGGUGGUGUGUUAAGUUGGAUGUGAAAUCCCCGGGCUCAACCUGGGAACUGCAUUCAAAACUGACUGACUAGAGUAUGGUAGAGGGUGGUGGAAUUUCCUGUGUAGCGGUGAAAUGCGUAGAUAUAGGAAGGAACACCAGUGGCGAAGGCGACCACCUGGACUAAUACUGACACUGAGGUGCGAAAGCGUGGGGAGCAAACA
rnacentral:rRNA from 1 species